GACUAUGCCUGACCCCUCUCCUCCUCCCUGGGGUUCGAGCAUAAGCGGCGGCACCUCUCCUCCUCCCUGGUGCCGCCGCACUCC
rnacentral:ncRNA from 1 species